UCCGCCCGGGGGGCACGGCGCCCAGCCGAUUCAUCAAUCUUGAAAAAAAAAAACUCAUUCUUUUAACGAACGAAGCUUUCGGCGUUCCCUUUUUGCGCGUGGCUACGGGCAGAAACUAAAUGAAACCUUUUACUGAGAUUGACUGUUUUCAAGACCGGGGCAACAAAGGAGCGGCCAAUUGGUCCCCCCGGCCGCGCUUUUGCCGCCCGCUGCUUUUUUCCCCGUCAAGCUGCACGCCCCAUCGGAAGAUGCGGGUGGCGGACAAAGUGUUCGUGCUUCGCAAAUCGGAAUUCCGAGUCCAUUUGCCGUUCCCCUAGUCAUACGCACGUACACGACGCAUCAGUCCUAAUUCGAUUUAUCUACGUUUGCAUUCGUAAACUGCAAUGCAUUCACUAUGCAGCUCACAGCCCGCGGGCUCUUUUGCCCUGCCUGUCAACGCCCAUGCGAGUCGUGUCUGCAGCCAUACCGGGGCAGACCUUUAUAAUCUGGGCCUUUCGGGGAGGCUCUCCCACGCGCCCAGCAAAGAGGGAAGUUGCGUCGAGAGAAUGAAGAGGGCCGGCUUGGCGUGUGACCACGCGGCCGGGUCCGCGGGGCCAUUGUGUCGCGCGACAGUGGCUCGGCCACUGCUGCAUACACUUAGCAUACUGAUCGGGCCGUCGAUUCGGACCCGCCAGUGCACAUCUGUUGCCGCCGCCGCUCGCUCGCCGCCGAGGGCCAUUAUCUAAUAAGCAAGCCGGCGGCCUUUCAAGAGCCCAUCUUGAUUUCGAUUCCGCCGGCGACGACUUUCACCUUUCAGCGCUGGCGUCGUCACUCCCCUGCGACCCUCGCUCGUGCAGUGGCGUGGCAUGAUACGGUACGGUCGAAAGCAAGUUCUUCGCGGUGACUACGCCCAUGUAUGCUACCGCAACUAUAUGCAUUCUUCAAAAAAAGUUGUGUAAAGAAGACUACAUCCAGCGGCUCUGCAAGAAUGCCUUAUAUACAGUGAGAUCAACAGAGGAGCGCAGGAUGGGCGACGCACUUGGGACUUGCAGCAUGCAGGCAUGCGAGGAAGAAACUGCCCCAAAACUGCGCGAUGACAACGGAUGUAGGAUAUCCCGGAGAUAGGACAAGCAGCACGGAUGACAGAAGGAUCGCCCAACACAGAGACAGGCGAGUGCCUUGACAUGACAAAGGUUCUUCAAGGGCGGCCGCCUCAUACGAUAGCAAUUUUCGGA